GAUGAACGCUGGGGCGUGCCUAAUACAUGCAAGUCGCGCGAACAGACGAGGAGCUUGCUCCUCUGACGUUAGCGGCGGACGGGUGAGUAACACGUGGAUAACCUACCUAUAAGACUGGGAUAACUUCGGGAAACCGGAGCUAAUACCGGAUAAUAUAUUGAACCGCACGGUUCAAUAGUGAAAGACGGUUUUGCUGUCACUUAUAGAUGGAUCCGCGCCGCAUUAGCUAGUUGGUAAGGUAACGGCUUACCAAGGCAACGAUGCGUAGCCGACCUGAGAGGGUGAUCGGCCACACUGGAACUGAGACACGGUCCAGACUCCUACGGGAGGCAGCAGUAGGGAAUCUUCCGCAAUGGGCGAAAGCCUGACGGAGCAACGCCGCGUGAGUGAUGAAGGUCUUCGGAUCGUAAAACUCUGUUAUUAGGGAAGAACAAAUGUGUAAGUAACUAUGCACGUCUUGACGGUACCUAAUCAGAAAGCCACGGCUAACUACGUG
rnacentral:rRNA from 1 species